UACGUAGGGGGGCAAGCGUUAUCCGGAAUCAUUGGGCGUAAAGCGCGUGUAGGCGGUUCCGUAAGUCCGCUCUGAAAGCCCAGGGCUCAACCCUGGGGAGCGGGUGGAUACUACGGAACUGGAGUACGGAAGAGGAGAUUGGAAUUCCUGGUGUAGCGGUGAAAUGCGCAGAUAUCAGGAGGAACACCAACAGCGAAGGCAGAUCUCUGGGACGUUACUGACGCUGAGACGCGAAAGCGUGGGGGAGCGAAACAGG
rnacentral:rRNA from 1 species